GACGAACGCUGGCGGCGUGCUUAACACAUGCAAGUCGAACGGAAAGGCCCUGCUUUUGUGGGGUGCUCGAGUGGCGAACGGGUGAGUAACACGUGAGUAACCUGCCCUUGACUUUGGGAUAACUUCAGGAAACUGGGGCUAAUACCGGAUAGGAGCUCCUGCUGCAUGGUGGGGGUUGGAAAGUUUCGGCGGUGGGGGAUGGACUCGCGGCUUAUCAGCUUGUUGGUGGGGUAGUGGCUUACCAAGGCUUUGACGGGUAGCCGGCCUGAGAGGGUGACCGGCCCCAUUGGGACUGAGAUACGGCCCAGACUCCUACGGGAGGCAGCAGUGGGGAAUAUUGCACAAUGGGCGGAAGCCUGAUGCAGCAACGCCGCGUGCGGGAUGACGGCCUUCGGGUUGUAAACCGCUUUCGCCUGUGACGAAGCGUGAGUGACGGUAAUGGGUAAAGAAGCACCGGCUAACUACGU
rnacentral:rRNA from 1 species